rnacentral:rRNA from 1 species
UGACGGUAUCUAACCAGCAAGUCACGGCUAACUACGUGCCAGCAGCCGCGGUAAUACGUAGGUGGCAAGCGUUAUCCGGAUUUAUUGGGCGUAAAGGGAACGCAGGCGGUUUUUUAAGUCUGAUGUGAAAGCCUUCGGCUUAACCGGAGAAUAGCAUUGGAAACUGGAAGACUUGAGUGCAGAAGAGGAGAGUGGAACUCCAUGUGUAGCGGUGAAAUGCGUAGAUAUAUGGAAGAACACCAGUGGCGAAAGCGGCUCUCUGGUCUGUAACUGACGCUGAGGUUCGAAAGCAUGGGUAGCAAACAGGAUUAGAUACCCUG